rnacentral:rRNA from 1 species
GGGAGGGGGGGCAAGCGUUGUUCGGAUUUACUGGGCGUAAAGGGUGUGUAGGUGGGUGUACAAGUUCUGAGUGAAAUCCUUCGGGCUCAACCGGAGAACUGCUUGGAAAACUGUAUAUCUUGAGUACAGGGGAAGAGAGUGGAAUUCUUGGUGUAGCGGUGAAAUGCGUAGAUAUCAAGAAGAACACCUGCGGUGAAAACGACUCUCUAUCCUGAUACUGACACUGAAACACGAAAGCUAGGGUAGCCAAUGGGAUUAGAUACCCCAGUCGUCCUAGCCGUAAACGAUGUGCACUUGGUGUGUUUCCGCAAGGAGGCGUGCCGAAGCUAACGCGUUAAGUGCACCGCCUGAGGACUACGGCCGCAAGGCUA